rnacentral:snoRNA from 1 species
AUUCUUUUUAAUUCAUAAACAAGAUGAUUUGGGUGUUUACACUGUUGUGUGAGAUUUGCCUCCCUCUAAACCUUGUUAUGAUGUUGGUAUAGUACCCAUCUGAUG